GGGCGAGUGGCGAAAUUGGCAGACGCACACGGUUCAGGGCCGUGUGGGAGUAAUCCCGUGGAGGUUCAAAUCCUCUCUCGCCCA
rfam:Candidatus Giovannonibacteria bacterium RIFCSPLOWO2_01_FTLL_46_32 rifcsplowo2_01_scaffold_179, whole genome shotgun sequence.